CAUUGAAACACCAGUUCCUGUAUGAUCACCGAAGUUAAGCAAUGUUGAGCCUGGUCAGUUCCCAGAUGGAUGACUGCUUGUGAAUAACACAUGCUGUAAG